GGUAUCUGCUCCUCUCCUCUUGGACUGGAGGAUGGGAGAAUUCAUUACGGUCAGCUCACCUCGUCCUCCCAUCGUGAGAACAACCCUGCCGAUGCCGGGCGGCUGAAUAUAGUCCCAAACAUCCAGGUGAUGGAGCCCGGUUGGAGCCCGUUACCUACAGACCCUCAGCCGUAUUUUCAGGUGGAUUUCUUGGAGCCCAUGUGGGUGUCAGGCGUGGUGACACAGGGCACUGAGCGAAUGUGGGGUUACCUCACCAAAUACCGCCUGGCAUUUGCCCUGCACAGCAGCCUUUUCACAGACUUUACUGAGAAUGGGAAGCCUGAUGGCCCCGCUAAGGUGUUUGAGGUACGGAUGGUGGGCAGGACCCCUGUGACCCGCUGGCUCGGUCGGCUGGUCAGAGCUCGCUACGUGCGCAUCAUGACUACAGAGUACAGGCACACGUUUU
ensembl:lncRNA